rnacentral:misc_RNA from 1 species
GAACUGCGAUAAGUAAUGUGAAUUGCAGAAUUCAGUGAAUCAUCGAGUCUUUGAACGCACAUUGCGCUUCUCGAGGCUGCGGCGGCCCGCGUCCAACAAGCUGAACCCCCCCGUCUUUGACCUCGGAUCAGGUAGGGAUACCCGCUGAACUUAAGC